rnacentral:rRNA from 1 species
AUUGAACGCUGGCGGCAGGCCUAACACAUGCAAGUCGAGCGGAUGAAGGGAGCUUGCUCCUGGAUUCAGCGGCGGACGGGUGAGUAAUGCCUAGGAAUCUGCCUGGUAGUGGGGGAUAACGUCCGGAAACGGGCGCUAAUACCGCAUACGUCCUGAGGGAGAAAGUGGGGGAUCUUCGGACCUCACGCUAUCAGAUGAGCCUAGGUCGGAUUAGCUAGUUGGUGGGGUAAAGGCCUACCAAGGCGACGAUCCGUAACUGGUCUGAGAGGAUGAUCAGUCACACUAGAACUGAGACACGGUCCAGACUCCUACGGGAGGCAGCAGUGGGGAAUAUUGGACAAUGGGCGAAAGCCUGAUCCAGCCAUGCCGCGUGUGUGAAGAAGGUCUUCGGAUUGUAAAGCACUUUAAGUUGGGAGGAAGGGCAGUAAGUUAAUACCUUGCUGUUUCGACGUUACCAACAGAAUAAGCACCGGCUAACUUCGUG